CCGAGCUCAGAUCAGCGUGGGGCGGAGGAGAAGUGGGAUUUGGAAGCUCAGGGGCACAGGGGCCCAGGGGCACAGGCCCACGACUGCAGUGGGAUGGACCAGUACUGCAUCCUGGGCCGCAUCGGGGAGGGCGCCCACGGCAUCGUCUUCAAGGCCAAGCACGUGGAGACUGGCGAGAUAGUUGCCCUCAAGAAGGUGGCCCUAAGGCGGUUGGAGGACGGCAUCCCUAACCAGGCCCUGCGGGAGAUUAAGGCUCUGCAGGAGAUGGAGGACAAUCAGUAUGUGGUGCAACUGAAGGCUGUGUUCCCACAUAGUGCAGGCUUUGUGCUGGCCUUUGAGUUCAUGCUGUCGGAUCUGGCCGAGGUGGUGCGCCAUGCCCAGAGGCCACUAGCCCAGGCACAGGUCAAGAGCUACCUGCAGAUGCUGCUCAAGGGCGUCUCCUUCUGCCAUGCCAACAACAUUGUACAUCGGGUCAGUCUCAGCAUAGGCCAGGCAUGGGGUCUGGGGAGCUGACUUGGCUUGGGGAUGGGGCUAGCCCUUGUAGAACGUGUGAUAAGAAGUUGGGACAGAGCUGGUCAAGG
rnacentral:sRNA from 1 species